UGGGGAAUCAUGGUCCAUGGGCGAAAGCCUGAACCUGCGACGCCGCGUGAGUGAUGAAGGUCGUAAGAUCGUAGAACUCUUUUCAGGGAUCUUAAAGCCUGUCUGUCAACAACAGGCAGGUCUGACUCUCCCUGGAAGAAGCCCCAGCCAACUACGUGCCAGCAGCCGCGGUAAUACGUAGGGGGCAAGCGUUGUCCGGAAGGAUUGGGCGUAAAGGGGGCGUAGGCGGCCUGGUAAGUCUGGAGUGAAAGUCCUGCUUUUAAGGUGGGAAUUGCUUUGGAUACUGCCUUACUCGAGUGCGUGAGAGGAAAGCGGAAUUCCAGGUGUAGCGGUGAAAUGCGUAGAUAUCUGGAGGAACACCGGUGGCGAAAGCGGCUUUCUGGCACGAUACUGACGCUGAGGCUCGAAAGCGUGGGGAGCAAACA
rnacentral:rRNA from 1 species